GAUGAACGCUAGCGGGAGGCCUAACACAUGCAAGCCGAGCGGUAGAGUCUCUUCGGAGACUUGAGAGCGGCGCACGGGUGCGGAACACGUGUGCAACCUGCCUUUAUCUGGGGGAUAGCCUUUCGAAAGGAAGAUUAAUACCCCAUAAUAUACUGGAUGGCAUCAUCUGGUAUUGAAAACUCCGGUGGAUAGAGAUGGGCACGCGCAAGAUUAGAUAGUUGGUGAGGUAACGGCUCACCAAGUCAGCGAUCUUUAGGGGGCCUGAGAGGGUGAUCCCCCACACUGGUACUGAGACACGGACCAGACUCCUACGGGAGGCAGCAGUGAGGAAUAUUGGACAAUGGGUGAGAGCCUGAUCCAGCCAUCCCGCGUGAAGGACGACGGCCCUAUGGGUUGUAAACUUCUUUUGUAUAGGGAUAAACCUAGAUACGUGUAUCUAGCUGAAGGUACUAUACGAAUAAGCACCGGCUAACUCCGUGCCAGCAGCCGCGGUAAUACGGAGGGUGCAAGCGUUAUCCGGAUUUAUUGGGUUUAAAGGGUCCGUAGGCUGAUUUGUAAGUCAGUGGUGAAAUCUCACAGCUUAACUGUGAAACUGCCAUUGAUACUGCAAGUCUUGAGUGUUGUUGAAGUAGCUGGAAUAAGUAGUGUAGCGGUGAAAUGCAUAGAUAUUACUUAGAACACCAAUUGCGAAGGCAGGUUACUAAGCAACAACUGACGCUGAUGGACGAAAGCGUGGGGAGCGAACAGGAUUAGAUACCCUGGUAGUCCACGCCGUAAACGAUGCUAACUCGUUUUUGGGUUUUCGGAUUCAGAGACUAAGCGAAAGUGAUAAGUUAGCCACCUGGGGAGUACGAACGCAAGUUUGAAACUCAAAGGAAUUGACGGGGGCCCGCACAAGCGGUGGAUUAUGUGGUUUAAUUCGAUGAUACGCGAGGAACCUUACCAAGGCUUAAAUGGGAAAUGACAGGUUUAGAAAUAGACUUUUCUUCGGACAUUUUUCAAGGUGCUGCAUGGUUGUCGUCAGCUCGUGCCGUGAGGUGUUAGGUUAAGUCCUGCAACGAGCGCAACCCCUGUCACUAGUUGCCAUCAUUAAGUUGGGGACUCUAGUGAGACUGCCUACGCAAGUAGAGAGGAAGGUGGGGAUGACGUCAAAUCAUCACGGCCCUUACGCCUUGGGCCACACACGUAAUACAAUGGCCGGUACAGAGGGCAGCUACACAGUGAUGUGAUGCAAAUCUCGAAAGCCGGUCUCAGUUCGGAUUGGAGUCUGCAACUCGACUCUAUGAAGCUGGAAUCGCUAGUAAUCGCGCACCAGCCAUGGCGCGGUGAAUACGUUCCCGGGCCU
rnacentral:rRNA from 1 species